rnacentral:tRNA from 1 species
GCGCCCGUAGCUCAGCAGGAUAGAGCGGCGGUUUCCUAAACCGCAGGUCAGGGGUUCGAAUCCUCUCGGGCGUACCA